rnacentral:rRNA from 1 species
UGUUGAUCCUCCCAGUAUUAUAUGAUUGUCUCAAAGAUUAAGCCACGCAUGUGUAAGUAGGAAAAUAAUUCAGACUGCGAAACUGCGAAUGGCUCAUUAAAUCAGUUAUAGUUUGUUUGAUGGUAUUUGCUACUCGGAUCCGUAGUAAUUCUAGAGCUAAUACGUGCACCAAACCCCGUCUUGUGGAAGGGAUGCAUUUAUUAGAUAAAAGGUCGACGCGGGCUUUGCCCGUUUCUCUGAUGAUUCAUGAUAACUCGACGGAUCGCACGGCCUUGGUGCGGGCGACGCAUCAUUCAAAUUUCUGCCCUAUCAACUUUCGAUGGUAGGAUAGAGGCCUCCCAUGGUGGUGACGGGUGACGGAGAAUUAGGGUUCGAUUCCGGAGAGGGACCCUGAGAAACGGCUACCCCAUCCAAGGAAGGCAGCAGUGUUGAUCCUGCCAGUAUCAUAUGCUUGGUCAAAGAUUAAGCCAUGCACGUCUAAGUAUAAGCAAUUUAUACAGUGAAGAAGGGAAUGGCUCAUUAAACAGUUAUCGU